AACCUGCAGGGACGAAUCAGGACAUUGAAGUGUACUGUGAAAUGGCAACGGGCGGAGGGGGUUGGACGGUGUUUCAACGUCGUGUGAAUGGGUCUGUAGAUUUCUACCAAAACUUCUUCUCAUAUGAGAAUGGCUUCGGCGACGUUCACGGAGAACACUGGCUUGGUUUAAAGUACAUAUAUGCCAUGACCUUCAAUGUGCAGACAGAACUACGGAUCGACCUGAUGGCGGCG